rnacentral:lncRNA from 1 species
UUGUAAUAGUUGGUGCCUUUUGUGGGAAUGAGACAAAAAGCUAUUCCUUUACCCUUGAAAACCAUGGCCACCCAAAAUGGGAAGGUCGAGUGACUUUCGUAGUCUGAAUCGAAACAAGCUUGAGGAGCAGGGCCAAUAUGGCAUGGUGAAGGCUAUCAACCACCAUAUUUGUUGCCUUGGUAGUGGAAUGAAGGACAUGCUCGUCCACUUCCCUUUGAUCUCCCGAUGGACCACCAAAAAGAGCGAUACCUUGACAACCCUAAUGAGGAAGGCAACUCCCAACCGACCUUGCAACAAUAUCA